CAAUAGCGUAUAUUAAAGUUGUUGCAGUUAAAAAGCUCGUAGUUGGAUUUGUGGUGUACUUCGGCGGCCCGUCACUAUGUGAUGGAGCUUGCUGAAGUCGCCAUCCUUGGGUGGAUCCUGUGUGGCAUUAAGUUGUCGUGCAGGGGUUGCCCAUCGUUUACUGUGAAAAAAUUAGAGUGUUCAAAGCAGGCUUAUGCCGUUGAAUAUAUUAGCAUGGAAUAAUAAGAUAGGACCUUGGUACUAUUUUGUUGGUUUGCGCACCAAGGUAAUGAUUAAUAGGGACAGUUGGGGGUAUUCGUAUUUCAUUGUCAGAGGUGAAAUUCUUGGAUUUUUGAAAGACGAACUACUGCGAAAGCAUUUACCAAGGAUGUUUUCAUUAA
rnacentral:rRNA from 1 species